AGUCUGAACUGUUUGUUGUCUGAAGGUCAAAGAUGAGAAUGAAGAUAAAGUGACGUAUGAGACGAUCAACAUGUCGACUCCUGCUGCUGCGAGAGACAAUGAGCAGACAGAUGAUGUGACUUACUCUGAAGUCUCUUCUUCCAGUAAAAAGCCAGUCAAAUCAGUCAAAGAUCAAGAUGAUUCAGUGACUUACGCUGCCAUCAGAGGAACACAAAAUGAGCCGCUGGGUCAACUUUACGCCUCUGUGAACUAGAACAAAUAAAGAUUCAUGAGACAGAUCAGUGCAUGAGCUCUUCACAUCAGCAGCAGAUUGAUGAGAUUCAUCAUAUAUGUGGAAGAGUUAUAUGAAACUUAUCUUAGAAAUUUCAACCAAAUCUAGAAGAAAACUACUCUUUCUUUCAGCAUGUAUAGACCGUUUCUUGUAGACAUUAGUGAGAGAUUACAUCAGUGUCUGUGUAAAUUAUAUUCUAUAUGUCAAACAAUUAAAUAGCAGUUAUUUCUUUUUUCCACGUGUGACCAUAAAGAGUCAUGAGUUCAGACAAGUGUCUUCUGUUCCAGUCAGAAAGAUGAUGUUUGUUGACUGUAUUAUGAGAUGAGGAUGAUUGAAAUGAUGUUUGAUUAUGUCACGUUCACAUUCUCCCGUCGAAACACCACAACAACCAGAAAUCAGAAUUUAUAUUUUCAUCAGUCCCUGUUCUCUUGGUUUCGUGUCUCUCCUCACUGGAUGUGGUUGUGUUUUGUCUUCAUUAGUCUACAUGUUAGUUUAAAUCUUCAUUUGUGUGUGUUUUUCUCAUGAUAUUGUGUCCAGAUAAAUAAAAAAGCCCCAU